AAAAGUAUACAUUAUAGUAAAAUCAAUACAUUUUUCAUCACUUGUUAAAAAUGAUUUCUCGACUUUUUUCUCGGUAAGCUAUAUUGUGGUCAAAAUAUCAAUGGUCACAAACUUAAAAAUGUGUAGGUAUAUUAAUAUAGUUUGAUAGAAACAUAAUAUUAUUGUGUGUUUGUGUGCAAGGCGACAUUUAGGAUUCGAAGUCUAAAGAAAUCAAGAAAUUAUGAAUAAACACGAAACUCAGUUGUAUAUUUACAUACAGGGUGUCCCACGAAGAUAUUUUACAUUCUUUCUGACUGGGGUACCACCCUAGUUAGAUAUCCUUUCAGAAAAAGGUGCUGUAAUUGAAAAUUGAGCAAAAUUACUAGUAGAAUA